GAUGAACGCUGGCGGCGUGCCUAAUACAUGCAAGUCGAGCGAACGGACGAGAAGCUUGCUUCUCUGAUGUUAGCGGCGGACGGGUGAGUAACACGUGGAUAACCUACCUAUAAGACUGGGAUAACUUCGGGAAACCGUAGCUAAUACCGGAUAAUAUUUUGAACCGCAUGGUUCAAAAGUGAAAGACGGUCUUGCUGUCACUUAUAGAUGGAUCCGCGCUGCAUUAGCUAGUUGGUAAGGUAACGGCUUACCAAGGCAACGAUGCAUAGCCGACCUGAGAGGGUGAUCGGCCACACUGGAACUGAGACACGGUCCAGACUCCUACGGGAGGCAGCAGUAGGGAAUCUUCCGCAAUGGGCGAAAGCCUGACGGAGCAACGCCGCGUGAGUGAUGAAGGUCUUCGGAUCGUAAAACUCUGUUAUUAGGGAAGAACAUAUGUGUAAGUAACUGUGCACAUCUUGACGGUACCUAAUCAGAGAGCCACGGCUGACUACGUG
rnacentral:rRNA from 1 species